rnacentral:rRNA from 1 species
AACGUAGGACACAAGCGUUAUCCGGAGUUACUGGGCGUAAAGGGCGCGUAGGUGGCCAACUAAGUCAGACGUGAAAUCCCUCGGCUUAACCGGGGAACUGCGUCUGAUACUGGAUGGCUUGAGUUUGGGAGAGGGACGCGGAAUUCCAGGUGUAGCGGUGAAAUGCGUAGAUAUCUGGAGGAACACCGGUGGCGAAGGCGGCGUCCUGGACCAAUACUGACACUGAACGCGAAAGCCAGGGAGCAAACGGG